UACAGAGGGGGCAAGCGUUGUUCGGAAUUACUGGGCGUAAAGGGCGCGUAGGCGGCCUGUUAAGUCGAACGUGAAAUCCCCGGGCUCAACCCGGGAACUGCGUCCGAUACUGGCAGGCUUGAAUUCGGGAGAGGGAUGCGGAAUUCCAGGUGUAGCGGUGAAAUGCGUAGAUAUCUGGAGGAACACCGGUGGCGAAGGCAGGCGAUCCUGG
rnacentral:rRNA from 1 species